UUGACCUCGGAUCAGGUAGGGAUACCCGCUGAACUUAAGCAUAUCAAUAACCGGAGGAAGG
rnacentral:rRNA from 1 species